rnacentral:rRNA from 1 species
AUACGGAGGGUGCGAGCGUUAAUCGGAAUUACUGGGCGUAAAGCGUACGUAGGCGGUUGGUUAAGUUAGAUGUGAAAGCCCCGGGCUUAACCUGGGAACUGCAUUUAAAACUGGCGAACUAGAGUUGCGUAGAGGGGAGUGGAAUUUCAGGUGUAGCGGUGAAAUGCGUAGAGAUCUGAAGGAACACCAGUGGCGAAGGCGACUCCCUGGACUCGAACUGACGCUGAGGUACGAAAGCGUGGGUAGCAAACGGGAUUAGAUACCCUAGUAGUCC